rnacentral:tRNA from 1 species
GGCUAGGUAGCAGAGUGGUUAUGCAGCGGCCUGCAAAGCCGUGGACACCGGUUCGAUUCCGGUCCUAGCCUCCA